rnacentral:rRNA from 1 species
ACCAGCAGCCAUAUCACUUUGCAACUCACAACUGGCAACCCACUGAAGCUCAGCAGGUGUGAGCCUGGUCAGUACCUGGAUGGGAGAUCUCCUGGGAAAAACUAAGGUUGCUGCUGGAA